rnacentral:lncRNA from 10 species
CAAACCCUCCAGCUGAUUCUGAUGAUGGACCUUUCUUCCCGUGGUUCUUUAACUUGAGUGUGCGUUAGAAUUGCCUACAGGGCUUGAUCACAGAUCUGCGGGCUCCACUCUCCAAGAAUUUCUGUUUCAGUAGGUCUGUUGUGAGGCUCAAGAAUGGGCAUUUCUAACCAUCCCCGUGAUGCUGAUCUGGGACCCACACUUUGAAAACAACUGCUCUACUCCAUAGGGGGAAAUGAAUGUGUCAGGAAAAAGGUGCUCUGUUUCUGAAGAAAGAGAAACAUGAAAGGUUAGACAAAGAAUAUAAAGGUAACUGAAAUCCUCGAAGUAAAAUAAAUUCCACCUCUUAACUAUACCUAUAAUCCUUUGUUUCACAGGCCAGCCUAAAUUUACCACUUUAUCUUAUAGAGUUGUCUGUGUGAAUCCGCUUUCUUAUGAUAUAGUGAGCUCCUUUAAACAUUGUGGCAUGCUUUAUUCAUCUUUAUGUCUGUCAUAGAUUAGAAGUAGUAAGUGUUCAAUAAACAUUUGUUGCGUUAAAAGUAUUAGAAAGGAAAUAGACUGUACACUUUAUUCUCGAUUGGUAGAAAUUUUAUGGUGUAAUCCUAAGGUAAGGUACACUAUUGAUUUCAAUGUUUGAAUUUUUUAUUUUAUUUUCUAUCUAAAACAAUUCACAUGUGUAAUGAAUUAAACAUCUGUCUUUUGUGAGGUGAUACUUAAAAAAUACUUAGAGACACUUAAAUAAGGAGCAUAAUGCUGUAGAAAUACCAUAUAUGGAAUCUAUUCAAUUUAACAAAACUUUAUAUUGAGCUUCUACCACAUGCCUGAUAGUAUACUCAAUGCUGGAAAUAUCUAAUAUAAUGAUGUUAAGAGCUUCAAUUUAUUGAUUAGUUAGCAUACAACAGGCAAUCUGCAAGGUGUUUACAGCAAAUUAUGCUUAUUUACUCAUCGCAAUACCUCUACGAAGUUGGCUUUAUUAGCAUCUCCAGAUUAAGGAAGAGGAAAUCAAAGCUUUAAAACAUUAAUUUAUUCUAAAUCACACAGCUAAGAAAUGACGGAACCAUGAUUCGGACCAACGUUGUCCGAAGCUAGAGUCUGCUUUCAACAGCUCUGCUGUAUUGACUCAUUCCGAAGACAGGGUUAGCCCUUAGGAAAGCCACAUGCAAAAGAGACCCAAUUACUUUCUACUGUUUAAACCUGAGCGAAACUAGGGUUACGUUUACCUAGGUCCAAAGUCCUAAUAGACCCCAAAGGGGAGCUCUUUUUUGGAUACAUGUCAGGAACAUGUUAAGGUACAACUUUUCAUUCAUCAAUUCAAUAAAUUUCUCUUGAAUAUUUGUUGUGUACAAUUACUGUGGUUCUAUGAAUUCAGUGGUGAGUAAGUAAAGAAUGCCCAAUAUCUAGUGGGUGACACAGAUAAUAAUCAAAUCCUCACACAAAUAACAUGUAAUUACAAACUGAAUUAAGGAUGAGGAGAGGAAAAUAAAGAGCACUAGGACAGCAUGCAGCAAGAGGACUUAAUUCAAUUUGUGGAGGGGGUGACCAGGGAAACCUUCCUGAGCAAGUGACAACCGAUCAAGACCGGUAAGACGGGCAGGAAAACGUGAGUGUGUGGAGUGGGUGGAGACAGUGAGCAGAUUCCCUGACAAACGGAAUAGUACGUGCAAAGGAAAAAGAGAUUACAGCACUGUAGUUAGAGAAAUCUAAAAAAAAAAAAAAACAAAGUUAGUGUAGUUGGAGUACAGAGAAUGAGCAGAUGAGAGGGAUAGUAAAAAAUACUGCCAACAUAGCAAAGGACAGACUAUGCAAAGCUUUGCACACCAUUUUAAGGCUAAAAUUAAUGUGAACCUUUUGAAGGAGAAAUCUAGCCAAGGCUAGAUUUAUAUUUAUUAAAUAUCACACUAUCUGUAGGCAGAACAGUCUGGUGGGUAGGGGGGUUACUGUGUUAAUUCCAAUGAGAGACGAUGGUAGCUUGCACUAGGAUACUAAUGGGCAUAAAGAAAAACUGUAGAGAUAUUGAGAAGGUUAAAUCAGUAGGACCAGGUGACAGAUUUAAUAAUGGUAGUUGACGGACAGUGAGGAAGAGUGAGGAAAAAAAAUCCAGACUUUUGGCUUGCUUAACUGGAUAGUGUCAUUCACUGGGAUGGAGGAACCUGGAUGUGUAUCGGGUUUGAAGGACAAGGUCGAACAUUCAGUUUGGUCCUUGUUGAGUCUGAGUUGCCUCUGAUACAUUUAAGUGGAGAUGUCAAUUAGGCAGGGGGGUAUGUAUAUAAGACUAGCAUUCAAAUGAGAGUUUCAGGGCUGGAGAUGUAAAUAUUAGAAGCUUUGCAGAAACAUUAGUUAGGUUAAAUCAGGAACAUAGAUAAGAUUACCUAGGGACAGAAGACAAAGUGAAGAAAUGAAAGGAGAUAUCAUUCCUUCUUUGGAACCUUGUGUAGUGAAUCAGAAUCAAACCCUGUUUAAUUUUAAAUUACAAAGCCAAUCUAACCACUCACUGUGUAGAUGAAGAGAACUGAAGUCCUGCGAGUUUUAUCCAUUUGCUAGAUUGUAAAAGUCAAGCUGGGGCAAGAACUCAGGUCUUCUGAGCUGCAGUUUAAUUCUCCACCUUUAUCGAUAUUUCUUAAAAUGUGGUCCUGGAACCAGCAGCAUCAGCAUCACUUAUACACUUAAAAAUGCAAAUAUUUAGGCCCCAUCCCAGAUCUACUGAAUCAGAAGCUCUAUGGCUAGGGCUCAGAUGCAUAUUCAGGUCAGAGGGCUCCUGCUCUAUUUUGUGUAAUCCCCUUCCUGAGUGUUAGCAAAGUGAUGGGUUCACACUUACGGGUAGAGAGGUAGCAGGAGGAAAGUGAAGCUGUUCUUGACUCUGUGCCAGAAGAGAUUACAGAAACUGACCCUCUCGAACUCAACAGAAGCUGUAGACCACAUUGGUACAUGUGUUUUAUAAACUACAAUCAUGCAUGCCGUUUCUGUGCUUUGCAAAAGAGACAGAUAGUGGUGCCAGGGGAAAGGACAUUAGCAGUCCAAGUUGAUUAGGUAAAAUGGUCUGACACAGUGAGGCAAAAGUUGAUUUGGUAAAAACUUGACAUAGACGGCACUUUCAACCAUCGGUAUCCACUUAAUAGAUGUAAACAGCUAUUUUCACGACACAAACACCCACACUUACAUCUUUAGAACAGUCUCAGCAAUUCUGUAUGCUUGCCAGAUAAAUCUCUGCUGCAAAUUAUCCUCCAGCCAUGAGAUUUAAAACCAAGAGUUUCUAGUGUUUUGUUCCUUUGAAAUAUGUAACCUUAACCAGAUGUUUAUACCCUGGGUCACAAAAAUCUAAUUGAAUAGUUCACUUGAUGUGUUCGCACAAUUAAGAAACUCUUCUUCCUUAAUAGGGGAAGAGGGGCAAAUUCAUAUGUUUAAUUUUCAAAAACACAGAGCGUUCUCUGCUCUACAACAGUCUAUCAGCUAGAAAUGUCUAUUAACUGUCUCUUCUCUACUUCAUGAGCACAAAGAUAAGUUGUGGUUUUAGGGACCCUUUGGGGGAUAUUAAGAGAUCUUGAGGUAAAUGCUAAACCAAACAGUUUAGUUUGUAUUCAGGACAGUAGACACGUUUUAUAUACUAUCAUCCUACUUUAACAUUAAUUAUAUUAAAAAAUUCUUCUUUUAACUGGGCUAUCUAAUUAAUAAGGCCAGCAACAUUCCU